GGUGAGGAGAGGACCUACAAGAUUUCCAAAACACUCCUAAAAAAAUUAAAAAGUUUGGCGCGCAUUUUGCCGCCAAUUCACCCAAUCCUAUAGGCUAUAACCCCGGCCUCGUUUGAGCAACUAAAGGAAAACCCAACUGUUUCAGCGCUUUCUCCUCUCCUUCUCCAUCCCGGUGAGGUCGGCGCCCUCUUUCUCUUCACUGUCGCGUCUUGUCAUCUUCGUUAACCUUCGUAUCCUGCAGCAUGUUUCAUCGCUUGCUUCCUGUUGCAACAUCCGCGAUCACCACCACCCUUUCGAUGAGAAGGGGAUCCCUCGCCCACAACCAUCUGUUGAGGUGAUUUUGAUUAGAAGAAUCAUCCUCUGGGGUUAGUGUUUCGCCCAGAUUCGAUUUCUCUUUUCGAACUUUCCCUCCUUGCUCUUGUUCUUGUUUUGUACUUUCAACCUACGGUGAGUGUUUUGGGACUUUGUCUCGGUUAUCUAAUCAAUGACGGGCUAUUUAGUUUAGUGCUGAUUUCCAGGAAAGAUAUUCGAAUGUUGAUGGCGCUUCCUCCAUUCGCACCGAAGUCGUGCUUAUUUUUCACGGUGGUAGAAGAGAUGGGUUGGUCACAACUUUGCAACUACAAGGCUAGAGGUCAUUGUAUGUAUACGACUGCCAAUAUUCAGAUUUGGUAUGGAGACUAUGGACUAUAGUAUGAGUCUUGAGGAAAACUCAUUUGUCGUUGUUGCAAAUGGUAGACGAACUUGAGAGGCUAGUUAGCUUAUUUGUCAUUCGUUUUUGCUUGAACAUUGAUCUAGCUAGGCUUUAUUUUUUUGGCUCAAUACCCGGACCAUGUAACAUGUUUGAUUCUCUUAUUUGUGUGUAAAACGCUUUCAGAUUAAUAUAUUAUAAGUUCACAUAUU